rnacentral:rRNA from 1 species
UGGGGAAUCUUGGACAAUGGGCGCAAGCCUGAUCCAGCCAUGCCGCGUGAGUGAAGAAGGCCUUCGGGUUGUAAAGCUCUUUUACCAGGGACGAUAAUGACGGUACCUGGAGAAUAAGCCCCGGCAAACUUCGUGCCAGCAGCCGCGGUAAUACGAAGGGGGCUAGCGUUGUUCGGAAUUACUGGGCGUAAAGCGCACGUAGGCGGAUUGUUAAGUCAGAGGUGAAAUCCCGGAGCUCAACUUCGGAACUGCCUUUGAUACUGGCAAUCUAGAGUCCGGAAGAGGUUAGUGGAAUUUCCGGUGUAGCGGUGAAAUGCGUAGAGAUCGGAAGGAACACCAGUGGCGAAGGCGGCUACCUGGACAGAUACUGACACUGAGGCGCGAGAGCGUGGGGAGCAAACAGGAUUAGAUACCCUGGUAGUCCCUGAGCGGGCUGGCAAGGCGCAU